GCAGCGAAAUGCGAAAAGUAGUGUGAAUUGCAGAAUUCAGUGAAUCAUCGAAUCUUUGAACGCACAUUGCGCCCCUUGGUAUUCCAUGGGGCAUGCCUGUUCGAGCGUCAUUUUGUACCCUCAAGCACUGCUUGGUGUUGGGCGUUUGUCCUGCAAAGGACUCGCCUGAAAGCGAUUGGCGGCCAACGUACUGGUGGUAGAGCGCAGCACAAUUUGCGUCUCUCCCUUCUACGUUAGCGUCCAUGAAGCCUUUUUCAAACGUUUGACCUCGGAUCAGGUAGGGAUACCCGCUGAACUUAAGCAUAUCAAUAAGCGGAGGAAAAGAAACCAACAGGGAUUGCCCUAGUAACGGCGAGUGAAGCGGCAUCAGCUCAAAUUUGAAAUCUGGCUCUUUCAGAGUCCGAGUUGUAA
rnacentral:rRNA from 1 species